UCCGGUUUGUCACCGGCGGUUUCUUCAGAGUGCCCAACUAAAUGAUGGCAACAGAAGAUAGGGGUUGCGCUCGUUGCGGGACUUAACCCAACAUCUCACAACACGAGCUGACGACGACCAUGCAACACCUGUUAACCAGCCCUUGCGGGAAGGGGUAUCUCUACCCCAGUCUAGUCAAUGUCAAGCCCAGGUAAGGUUUCUCGCGUAUCGUCGAAUUAAACCACAUGCUCCACCGCUUGUGCGGGCCCCCGUCAAUUUCUUUGAGUUUCACCCUUGCGAGCAUACUCCCCAGGCGGUAUACUUAAUGCGUUAGCGACGACACUGAAGGCGUUGAAACCUCCAACAUCUAGUAUACAACGUUUACGGUGCGGACUAC
rnacentral:misc_RNA from 1 species